rnacentral:tRNA from 1 species
CAAGAUAUAGCUUAAUCAAAGCAUCUAGUUUACACCUAGAAGAUUUCACACGCUAUGAAUAUCUUGA